UACGUAGGGUGCAAGCGUUGUCCGGAAUUAUUGGGCGUAAAGAGCUCGUAGGCGGUCUGUUGCGUCGGCUGUGAAAACCCGGGGCUCAACUCCGGGCCUGCAGCCGAUACGGGCAGACUAGAGUUCGGCAGGGGAGACUGGAAUUCCUGGUGUAGCGGUGAAAUGCGCAGAUAUCAGGAGGAACACCGGUGGCGGAGGCGGGUCUCUGGGCCGAUACUGACGCUGAGGAGCGAAAGCGUGGGGAGCGAACAGG
rnacentral:rRNA from 1 species